rnacentral:sRNA from 1 species
AUGGAACUUAUAUUUAGACGCUCCAUGAACACAAAGGAUCUUGGGAGAUGUAGUCUUGUUUGUACCACUUGGCAAUUACUUAUUGGUAAAUCUUCUCUAGCCAUUAUAUAUAUCUCUGGUGCAGAAUUAAUGGUCAAUUAUAAUGUUAUGUAAGACAGUAAAAGAGUUCUAUUUUUUAGUUUCUUAAUGGGUAGGAUGUUAGAUUAAGCUUGAACACGGCACAGUGAAACUUGGUCACAUUUUUUCAUUUUGUUUUAUUCUGUUCAUUUGUGAGUACAGUAUCAUAUCAAUAAUGUCAUGUGUAAACUCUUGAGAAAGACACGAUCUUUACAGUUAAAAUAAUUGUGAAAAUGAAUCUAGUUCUCUCACACCAGUUGUUAUUUCCUUGAUCUAACAGCUGACAUUUGGGGGAAGAAUUUCUCUUUGUUGAGAACUGCAAAUACAAGAGCUACUAGGAGAAUUGUGUGGGACUACAAGAAUUUUCAGAUAGAGACUUUUAAAGGUUGCAAAGCUGAGCUUGUUGACAGCCUCUUCCACUGGGAGGCCAUCAUGAUUGGUCCCAAAGAUACCCCUUAUGCUGAUGGGGUCUUCCUCUUAAAAAUCUAUUUGUCUCAUGAUCAUCCAUUUCAGCCCCCCGAGGUCAAAUUCCUAACCAAGGUAAUACUGACAGCCUUCACUUUGUUAAUUUUUGAUUAUUUUGAGUUGAAGCUUGUGAAUUAAGCCUUAAUCCUAAUUUUUUUGGGAUCGGCUAUGGAAAUAACAGAUUAGUCAAGGUGAAUCGCAUGUAUUUUUUUUGCCAUUAAAACUUGUGCUGCAUAGGAAAAAAAAAAUGAAUAGUAAUAAUAAUAAUAAUGGUAAAACUGAAAACCAAUGUGGAUAACAAAACAUAGAAGACUAGUCUUUGAUCAAAUUCUACUAUAGCCUUUGGUAUGGAACUAUGCAUGUCCAUUUAUCUGAUGGUAAAUCAUAGAAGAUAUGUUUUUGCUUGUUUUGCCUGUGCGUACAUAUCCGAUGUUAUGUUCUUGUCUUCCCUCACUUCUAAAAUUUGAGACUGCUAUUUGAGAGUAAUAAAUUGGCAUACUAUUGAAAACUACUACACGUUUUUCGUUACUUUUUAUAAUUUUGUAUCUUAUCUGUAACCUGUGCUUAUUUCAGAUCAUCCUAUGGAAUUCUUAAGCUGGUAGUUUUAGAGAUCUUUAUGCAUGUAGCAUAGAUCCAAAGCCAAUACACAAUAUUUUCAUUAAUUGUGAGUAAUGUCAGUUCCUAACAAUUUUGUGCUUCUUAUAGUAAUCAUAGAUAAGAUAUAUAUAUAUAUAUAUAUACAUAUAAUCAUUGAUAAGUUGAUUAACCAUGCUUUGGUUUUUUUUUAAGGAUCAAACUUUAUUACAGUUUUUUCUUAGGUGCUAAAUGUUUAAGUUUUCUAAUUAAAUUCACCCAUGUAAGUGUAUUGGCCAACACACUAAAAUUUGUGUUUUUUUUUUUUUUUUCCCGACAAUUAAAGUUAACUAUAUACUCUAUUGGCAUGCAAAAUGCAGGUUUACCACCCAAACAUUGGCCGAGAUGGCAGGGUAUGUGUUGAGAAAUCAUGGUGCCCAUCACGUACCAUCUUCCAACUUCUCCUAGUUAUCUAUGCUCGCUUCUCCAACCCUGAACCUGAUGACCCAAUUGAUUGUGAGAUUGCUCAAAUGUAUAAGACUCAGAGAAUUCAAUAUGAUGAAAAUGCAAGAGACUGGACCAAGAAAUAUGCUACUGCAAGCCGGGAAAGCGCAAUAGAUUGGUCACGAUUUCUCAAGAACAAUAAAAUUUUGGAACCAACAAAAUUGGUGGACUAACAAUCCUGGAUGUCUUUAUUGGAAACACUAGGAGAUGUUAGUUGAGUUACAAAACCCUGGGCAAAUAGCAAAUGAACUCAAGUAAGUGGCUGUGGUGCAUUUUAAUAUUGGUUUUGCAAUUAUUACCUAAUAUGUUUGGUAUUUUAAACUAUAGGAUGGUUUGACAUUAAAUGAUUAAAUAUUUAUUAGAAGAUUGUAUCCUUUCAAUUUUGUUAUGGGACUUAGAAGAGACAGCAUUACAUCUUCAUACCCGAAAAUCAUUUGUAAUCAUAAAUCUUAUAUGGAUGUAUGUACUAUAAUUUACUGCUAAGAAAGAUCUUGGGACGGAAGAAUGUAUCUUGUGCCUCAAUAUAUACUCUCACAAUAUAUAGAAUUCACACAAUUGUGAGGUUUAUUUUAUUUUUAUUUUUUUGAGAAUAAUUGUGAGGUUUAUAUAUUGUUUGUCUAUGAUGAUUCACUUCAAUUUUAGGUGCCAAUGGGCAAUAGUUUUUAUUAGGUUAGUACGUAGUAUCAAAAUAAACUACAUCACCAUACAAAUCAUAAUUCAAAAAUUAUUUUAAGAUCUUUCCAAAAUAUAAUAGUUAUUUGACCAUCAACAUGCAACUGUAUUUCAUAAAAAAUGAUGCAUCUUCAAAUCUUCUCAUCUCAAAAUAAUAAAAUCGGGUGUAUGUUUCUUCCUCUUUCAUUUUUCUGAUUUGUUUAGAUUGUAAAUAAUUAUUAAGGCAUUCUGAGUAAAAUCAUGAUUUUCCCUACCUCGAGCUUGUUUACUCAUAAACUGAAAAACUAAUUUUGAAAUUGUUCACAUCUUCAAGAAUCAAAGAAUUCAAUAUGAAGAAAAAGAAAGAAUCUGGACCAAGAAAUAUGCUACCGUAAGCUACAUAAGCGCAAUUGAUUGGUCACAAUUUCUCAAGGAGCAUAAAAUGAUAAAAUUAGGGACCCACAAAUGUAAGUGUACAAACAAAAAAUUAGAUGAACGAAAAUUUGUGCCCAAAUGAUAAGUUGCAAAUUAACUCAGUUAUAUGGUUGCGGUGCUUUUUGAUUGCUUAAUCUGCUUGGCAAUUAUUUACCUAAUUAGUUUGGGGUCUUAUACAAUCAGGCAAUUUCACAUUAAAAAUGAUUCUUUUAUAGAAGAAUUAAAUAUGUUCUCUGUAUGUAUGUCAUUGGAGAAUUUUAUCAUAUGCUCAAUAGAGCCAACGUGGGAUUUUCAUACUAACUCAUUUGUAAUCAUGUUACUCUUUCUUUUGUUGUCUCUUUGAAUUUUUAUAACUUUUACUUUAUUUUAUUUGGAGAGAGUGGAUGCUAAAUGCCCCAAUUUGGUAAAUUUUGAUAAACUUGAAUUAACAAUUUUUUUUCUCCUUGCAAAUUGUAAUAAGUGGGAGAAGAGAAAUUGAACUCAAGUUCUCCUUGAUAAGAUAACUGGAUAGUCUCAUUAAGCCACAAGGCUCUUGAUUGAAUUACCAACACUUUUUUUUUUUUUUGAGAGAGAGAGAGAGAGAUACCAACACUUAAUCUUGAUGAUAUUUAAUGUUAACUUGUUAAUAUUUAAAACAUAUAAAUAAAAAUGUAAAAUGGAGUACAUAAUGGGUAGAGGGAAAACCACAAGUUGGUGUGCAUUGCAUGUGUUAAUGUGUUAUGGAUAUAGCUCAAUCUUGAAUUUUCUCCAUACCUUUAAUUUUGAGCCACUGUCUAAUUGAGUAUAAGAAAACAGAGUGUAACAAACACAGUGAAACUAGAAAGAGAGAGAGAGAAAGAAAGAGAAUCAAGAACUGAAGCUUUGUGAGAAAAUAUCUGAAUUGAUUGAUUAAAAACAAAGUCAUUACAGAAAGAUUAUAUAUAUAGUCUAAAGAACAAAGAAAAUAAUCUAACCACCUCUAACCAAUUCCAAGUUACACAGAUCAACUUCCCACCAUCUGAUCAUGACAACACUCAAAUGAUCAUCACCUUACACGUGUCAAUACAAAUAAACUAACUACAUUUACAACAGAAAACUACAAUAUAAACUGAUUAUACUACUGCAGAAAGCUACAGGCCGUUUGGGCAAUCCUCAUCAAUACAUGUAUACUCUGCCCCAAUACUCUGCCUCUCUGCCUAAUCUGAAACCUCAUCUUGAAAUGCUCUCAUUUUCCUUCAAGCUUUGACAUUCCCCCUCAAGAUGAGAAUCUAAUUUGCUGCUUGCAUCUGCAUUUGCUUUCUUUGCAACUGAUCUAUCACCAUCUAAGAUUAUACAUUCCCUUUGAGGAAGAGAAGCUGAAACAUGGAUGUUCAUAAUAUUCAUUUUACUUAACAAAUGUCUUAACUGUGAACUGUUAAGAGCCUUAGUGAGUAAAUCUGCCAGCUGAGUGUGUGUGGGAGUGAAAAAUAGCCUAAUUACAUUGUUUUGCACCUUAUCUCUAACAACAUGACAAUCAACCUCUAUGUGUUUGGUUCUCUCAUGAAACACAGGGUUUUCUCCAAUAUAAAUAGCUGCUUGAUUGUCACAAAACAGAAGAGCAGGCUGAGGAUGCCAAAUUUCCAAAUCCUUUAACAAUGAUAGCAGCCAAGUCAGUUCACAUACAGUUACAGCCAUAGCUCUGUAUUCUGCCUCAGCUGAAGACCUAGACACUAUAGAUUGUUUCUUGGACUUCCAAGAGAUUAAGGAAUCACCUAAAAAUAUGCAAUAGCCUGUGGUUGAUCUUCUGGUGUCUAUACAAGAUGCCCAAUCAGCAUCUGUUUUUUUUUUUUUUUUUUUUUUUUUUUCGACAAUUAAAUUUAACUAUAUACGCUAUUGGCUUGCAAAAUUCAGGUUUACCACCCAAACAUUGGCCGAGAUGGCAGGGUAUGUGUUAAGAAAUCAUGGUGCUCAUCACUUACCAUCUUCCAACUUCUCCUAGUUAUCUAUGCUCGCUUCUCCAACCCUGAACCUGAUGACCCAAUUGAUUGUGAGAUCGCUCAAAUCUAUAAGACUCAGAGAAUUCAAUAUGAUGAAAAUGCAAGAGACUGGACCAAGAAAUAUGCUACCGCAAGCCAGAAAAGCGCAAUAGAUUGGUCACAAUUUCUCAAGACCAAUAAAAUUUUGGAACCAACAAAAUUGGUGGACUAACAAUCUUGGAUGUCUUUAUUGGAAACACUAGGAGGUGUUAGUUAAGAAACAAGACCCUUGGCAAAUUGCAAAUGAACUCAAUUAAGUGAUUGUGGUGCAUUUUAAUUGGUUUUGCAAUUAUUACCUAAUAUGUUUGGUGUUUUAAACUAUAGGAUGGUUUGAAAUUAAAUGAUUAAAUAUUUAUUAGACAGAAAAGGAUCAAGAGGAGUGCCUAUGCUUAUGAGGCCCUAAACAGUCAAGGAACCAUUGUCUGUAGUGGAUGUCAUAGCAGUGCAGCUGACUCAGCCUAUGGUGCUUUGCUGGAGGCCAUGGUGGAUGCUGCAAUGCAAGCUAGGAGGUGUGGGUUUAGCCAACUUUUGUUCAUGAGCAGCAGCAAGAGGCUAGUCUAUCAGUUCAGCAGGACUAGUAUUCCAAACUGGAUGGAGAAGACUACUUUUGCAGAUCUGUCUACUUUAAAACAGCUUGGUAUAGGCUUUAAGUACCUUUUUGUGCCUUCUGUUGUUCUUAAUAGUGUCUAUUCUAUAGCUGUUUUGGCUACUAAAUCUCCUAUGCAUUAUAACUGGGCUACGUCACCAAGUGUAUAA